rnacentral:tRNA from 1 species
GGACAGGUGCCCGAGCGGCUGAAGGGACCGGUUUGCUAAACCGGCGUAGGGGGUAACCUCUACCGCGGGUUCGAAUCCCGCCCUGUCCG